AGCAGUGACACGGGGUGUCCCUCCAGGCGGAGGGGCUGAGAUGAGACCCGUCGAACCUGAUCCAGCUCAUACUGGCGAAGGAAUGUCCUGCCGGGCCGUG
rnacentral:ncRNA from 1 species